rnacentral:rRNA from 1 species
UGGGGAAUAUUGCACAAUGGGGGAAACCCUGAUGCAGCGACGCCGCGUGAGCGAAGAAGGCUUUCGAGUCGUAAAGCUCUGUCCUAUGAGAAGAUAAUGACGGUAUCAUAGGAGGAAGCCCUGGCUAACUACGUGCCAGCAGCCGCGGUAAUACGUAGGUGGCAAGCGUUGUCCGGAAUUAUUGGGCGUAAAGCGCGCGCAGGUGGUUUAGAAAGUCUGAUGUGAAAGCCCACGGCUCAACCGUGGAGGGUCAUUGGAAACUAAUAAACUUGAGUGCAGGAGAGAAAAGUGGAAUUCCUAGUGUAGCGGUGAAAUGCGUAGAGAUUAGGAGGAACACCGGUGGCGAAAGCGGCUUUUUGGCCUGCAACUGACACUGAGGCGCGAAAGCGUGGGGAGCAAACAGG